rnacentral:rRNA from 1 species
GCCAAAAAUCUAGCCCGUUAAAACUUUAUAAGCCCGCACCAUUUUGUAAAAUAAACUAAAACAUUCUACCAUUCUAGUAAAGGGGAUUAAAAAAAUUAUAAGAGCAAUAGAUAUAGUACCGCAAGGGAAAGAUGAAAUAAAAAUGAAAUAAACCUAAAGCAUAAAAAAGCAGAGAUUACAUCUUGUACCUUUUGCAUCAUGGUUUAACUAGUCCAACCAAGCAUAAAGCUUUAUAGUUUGACCCCCCGAAACUAAGCGAGCUACUUCAGGGCAGCCUUAUGGGCGAACCCGUCUCUGUUGCAAAAGAGUGGGAUGACCUUCAAGUAGGGGUGACAGACCUAACGAGCUUAGUGAUAGCUGGUUACUCAAGAAAAGGAUUUUAGUCCCACCUAAUGCUUCCAUUAAAAAUUAAAAUUUACCCCAAGCCUUAGAGCAAUUCGAAUAAGGUACAGCCUAUUCGAAACAGGAUACAACCUUUACUGACGGGUAACUAACUAAACCACUCAACUAAGUGGGCCUAAAAGCAGCCACCUUCAAAAAAGCGUCAAAGCUUAAUUGAGAGAUCCAACUAAUCCCAUUACCCCUUAUUAACCCUCUUUUAUUAUUGAGUAAUUCUAUACUUCUAUAGAACCUAUUAUGUUAAAACUAGUAACAAGAAGCCAAACCUUCUCUGAGCUGCAAGUGUAAAACAGAAAGGAUAACCCACUGAUAAUUAACGUCUAUGAACUAAUAUUAGCAACUUUCCUCAAGAAAAUCCUAAUUCUUCUACUUACGUUAACCUAACACAAGAGCACCCCCAGAAAGAUUAAAAGAAAAAGAAGGAACUCGGCAAACAUAAACCCCGCCUGUUUACCAAAAACAUCGCCUCUUGAAUAAAAAUAAGAGGUCCAGCCUGCCCAGUGACCCUAGUUCAACGGCCGCGGUAUCCUAACCGUGCGAAGGUAGCGUAAUCACUUGUUCUUUAAAUGAGGACUAGUAUGAACGGCAUCACGAGGGUUUUACUGUCUCCUUUUUCUAAUCAGUGAAACUGUUCUCCCCGUGAAGAGACGGGGAUAGACAUAUAAGACGAGAAGACCCUAUGGAGCUUUAAAUUUUAUUUCAACUGCUUUCUUCCCAUAACCAGUCCCGACCUCUUUUACCGAAUCAAGCACUAUGAUAAUAAAUUUUAGGUUGGGGUGACCGCGGAGCACAAAAAAACCUCCGUAUUGAAUAAAGGCCUUCAGCCCUGAGCAAAGAGCUACGACUCCAAGCACUAAUACUUUAACAUCCAUUGACCCAAUAUUUUUGAUCAACGAACCAAGUUACCCUAGGGAUAACAGCGCAAUCUACUUUGAGAGCCCCUAUCGACAAGUGGGUUUACGACCUCGAUGUUGGAUCAGGGUAUCCCAGUGGUGCAGCCGCUACUAAAGGUUCGUUUGUUCAACGAUUAAAACCCU